UACAGAGGGUGCGAGCGUUGUCCGGAAUCACUGGGCGUAAAGGGCGCGUAGGUGGCCUGGUAAGUCGGGGGUGAAACGCUGCGGCUCAACCGCAGCACUGCCUUCGAGACUGUCAGGCUUGAGCACGGUAGAGGCUGGUGGAAUUCCCGGUGUAGCGGUGGAAUGCGUAGAGAUCGGGAAGAACAUCGGUGGCGAAGGCGGCCAGCUGGGCCGUUGCUGACACUGAGGCGCGACAGCGUGGGGAGCAAACAGG
rnacentral:rRNA from 1 species